rnacentral:misc_RNA from 1 species
GCAGCAGUAGGCCCCUCCGCGCGCCCUGGGCAGGCCCUCCAGCAGCCGCGCCAGGAGGCCCUCCUCGUCCAGGCGCAGCACGUCCUCCGCGCCGCCCACGUGACGGCCCCGCACGAACAGCCUGGGGAGCAUGCCCGCCGCUGCUGCUCUGCCGCCGCCCAGCCCCAGCCCCAGCCUGCUCCUCAGCUCGUCCCUGAACCCGCGGUCCAUGGACACGUCGCGCUCCCGGAAGGCGACGCCGUGCGCCUGCAGCGCCGCGCGGACGGCGUUGCAGGCCUCGAAGGUGACGCGGACCCCGCGGAGG